ensembl:snRNA RNU6-482P RNA, U6 small nuclear 482, pseudogene
GUGGCUGCGUCAGCAGCACAUAUCCUAAAACUGGAAUGAGGCAGAGGAGUUUAGCAUGGCCCUUGCUCAAGGAUGACAUGGAAAUUGAUGAAGUAUUCUAUAUUUAA